UACGGAGGGUGCAAGCGUUAUCCGGAUUUACUGGGUUUAAAGGGUGCGCAGGCGGAUAUGUAAGUCAGUGGUGAAAUCUCCGGGCUUAACCCGGAAACUGCCGUUGAUACUAUAUAUCUUGAAUGCUGUGGAGGUAAGCAGAAUAUGUCAUGUAGCGGUGAAAUGCUUAGAGAUGACAUAGAAUACCUAUUGCGAAGGCAGCUUACUACGGAUAUAUUGACACUGAGGCUCGAAAGCGUGGGGAUCAAACAGG
rnacentral:rRNA from 1 species